rnacentral:rRNA from 1 species
GACGAACCGUGCAACGUUGUUCGGAAUCACUGGGCUUAAAGGGCGCGUAGGCGGGCCAGCCAGUCUGUGGUGAAAGCCCCCGGCUCAACCGGGGAAGUGCCGUGGAUACUGCUGGCCUCGAGGAGGAUAGGGGCAUCUGGAACGGUCGGUGGAGCGGUGAAAUGCGUUGAUAUCGACCGGAACUCCGGUGGCGAAGGCGAGGUGCUGGGUCCUUUCUGACGCUGAUGCGCGAAAGCCAGGGGAGCAAACGGGG